AAGAGAGAGGUAACCCCGCUCCUCUGCCGGGGUGCCGGAGUCCCAGAGCCCGAGGCAUGGGGUGUCCAGGGCAAUGGAACAUCCCGGAGAAUGGCGGGGGAGCUGCUGGCGGACUGGGGUGGUGGUGGAGCCCCUGAGGGUACCCCUCCUGCCCCUGUCUUCCUCACACAGCCAUCACCCUGACAUCCUUGCAGACGGGGAGCCAGCCCAGGAAAUGAAAGAAAGCGGAAAAAAAAACCCAAAACAAACCCAACAACAAAGUCUGUCCCACUCCAGUGAGGUAAUUGAAAACAAACUUCUUCCCCACCCCCCCACCCCCCCCAUCCCAGUUCUCGAAGUGCAGAAAAGGGAAGAGCUGCCCUGGGAACCCAGCGCUGGUCAUGCCCACGCUGCCUGCUCUGACCCACAGGCUGCAGGGGCUAUGGCAGGGCGGGCAGGGUGUCCUUCCUUCUCCGGUCGGGGGGGAGGGGGGACCCAGGGCAGGAGUGGUGAGCGCAGGCUCCGAUGCUAUUCCAGAGAGGAAUCACCUCUCAGGUCUGGCCCACCACCUCUCCCUCCUUGAAACAGCAAAUAAACAACAACAAAAGCAACGUAUUACCAAGUGAUUUAAUUGGCGGUCCGGUUCUAGAGCACUCAAGCCUUGGAGACCAAGUGACCGUCCCCCAAGAAAAGUCACAGAGUGGGGAUGUCUGCAGGCCUCCAGAUGAGAGCUGUUUCCUUUGCACGCUCCUUGGCAGCCCUCUGUACAGGGAGGAAGGGAGACCCUCCAGGGAGGGUCUGGGCUACGGGUCCCCUAGGAAUCCCGCCCCGGCAAGUCCCAACCCAGGCCUGAGGGAAGGACGCAGGGAGAGCACUCCACACUCAAGACCACCCCCACCCCAGCACCGGAAAAAACCUACAAUCCAAACCCCAAAAGCAGGAGAUGGCCAAAUGGCUUCUUGGGGAAGCA